rnacentral:misc_RNA from 1 species
AAAGUCGUAACAAGGUUUCCGUAGGUGAACCUGCGGAAGGAUCAUUAAUAAACCUAGCGCUCGCGCACAGGUAACCCUUGAAUAACAUACCUUCGUUGCUUUGGCGGGCCGCCCUCGUGGCCAGCGGCCUCGGCUGCUGCGCGCCCGCCGGAGGACCACAACUCUUGUUUUUAGUGAUGUCUGAGUACUAUAUAAUAGUUAAAACUUUCAACAACGGAUCUCUUGGUUCUG